CAACCCUCAAGCACCCCCUAGGGGCGCUUGGUGUUGGGGACCGGCCCGCCCCCCGCGGCGCGCCGCCCCCGAAAUGCAGUGGCGCCCUCGCCGCAGCCUCCCCUGCGUAGUAGCACAACCUCGCACCGGAGCGCGGAGACGGUCACGCCGUAAAACGCCCAACUUUCUUAG
rnacentral:misc_RNA from 1 species